CUGGACACUAUAAAAAUUCUCUUCCAGGAUGUUAAAUAAGUAUUCUGAAUCUGGGUAUUAAAAGUGUAAGUCGCGUUUUUGUAUCAAAAUUAACAAAAUUAACUGAUUGCUCUACUGGCUAACGGCGAUGGAUUUGUUUAGUACGAUUUUUCAAGUUGGACAGAAAGUGGCUUCAGAAUGUCAACAAUCCACAGUUCUUCAACUAGUCAACAGAUCCCGCAGCGAUAUAAUUGACGCUACCAUGUCUUCAAUGGAUAAGUUUGACUGGUUUAUGGCUGGCCCCCUUUUCGACAGACCAUACAUUCCCUCUAAUUCCUCACAAGAAAGAAGCGCAACCUUAAAUACAACGGCCGCCCAUUGUCCUUUCGAAAUGACAUUGAUUUUUAGUGAUGGAACUAUGGACAAAUUCAGGAUGCAUCAGAAAUUCCCCUUUGAUGGGUGUCCGGGCUUUCAACACUUCAACGGCCCACAUGUUAUCACCUUCGCAUGUUCAGAGAACAGAGUGAUUAUAACAAUCAGGGAUUAAUAGUUUUGCAACUUCAAGUCAAGAUUUUGUCACUGUCUUUUUUAAAUUUUUAAUAAAAAUAUGCAUAUAUAACAAAUCAUA